CAAGUCGAACGAUGAAGCCCUUCGGGGUGGAUUAGUGGCGAACGGGUGAGUAACACGUGGGCAAUCUGCCCUGCACUCUGGGACAAGCCCUGGAAACGGGGUCUAAUACCGGAUACUGAUCGCCUUGGGCAUCCUUGGUGAUCGAAAGCUCCGGCGGUGCAGGAUGAGCCCGCGGCCUAUCAGCUUGUUGGUGAGGUAAUGGCUCACCAAGGCGACGACGGGUAGCCGGCCUGAGAGGGCGACCGGCCACACUGGGACUGAGACACGGCCCAGACUCCUACGGGAGGCAGCAGUGGGGAAUAUUGCACAAUGGGCGAAAGCCUGAUGCAGCGACGCCGCGUGAGGGAUGACGGCCUUCGGGUUGUAAACCUCUUUCAGCAGGGAAGAAGCGAAAGUGACGGUACCUGCAGAAGAAGCGCCGGCUAACUACGUGCCAGCAGCCGCGGUAAUACGUAGGGCGCGAGCGUUGUCCGGAAUUAUUGGGCGUAAAGAGCUCGUAGGCGGCUUGUCGCGUCGGUUGUGAAAGCCCGGGGCUUAACCCCGGGUCUGCAGUCGAUACGGGCAGGCUAGAGUUCGGUAGGGGAGAUCGGAAUUCCUGGUGUAGCGGUGAAAUGCGCAGAUAUCAGGAGGAACACCGGUGGCGAAGGCGGAUCUCUGGGCCGAUACUGACGCUGAGGAGCGAAAGCGUGGGGAGCGAACAGGAUUAGAUACCCUGGUAGUCCACGCCGUAAACGGUGGGCACUAGGUGUGGGCGACAUUCCACGUCGUCCGUGCCGCAGCUAACGCAUUAAGUGCCCCGCCUGGGGAGUACGGCCGCAAGGCUAAAACUCAAAGGAAUUGACGGGGGCCCGCACAAGCGGCGGAGCAUGUGGCUUAAUUCGACGCAACGCGAAGAACCUUACCAAGGCUUGACAUACACCGGAAACGUCCAGAGAUGGGCGCCCCCUUGUGGUCGGUGUACAGGUGGUGCAUGGCGUCGUCAGCUCGUGUCGUGAGAUGUUGGGUUAAGUCCCGCAACGAGCGCAACCCUUGUCCCGUGUUGCCAGCAGGCCCUUGUGGUGCUGGGGACUCACGGGAGACCGCCGGGGUCAACUCGGAGGAAGGUGGGGACGACGUCAAGUCAUCAUGCCCCUUAUGUCUUGGGCUGCACACGUGCUACAAUGGCCGGUACAAUGAGCUGCGAUACCGCGAGGUGGAGCGAAUCUCAAAAAGCCUGGUCUCAG
rnacentral:rRNA from 1 species